GUGCCCCUGGACUGUCAUCUCGAAGAGACACAUGCGUAGACUCAGAUAUGGCCCUGCUACCAAAUACUGGCUGUCUCUGCAGAAGUCUGGACUCAAGGUCAACUGAUAAUGGCUGCAGCCUAUGAAGAAGCGAGGUCCUGAUUCCUUACCUGAGAAAAGGAGCCUAAGACCCCAUCCAGGUUGUACCAGCUCUCAGAGCAUGCCCACAGCCUCUUCUCCUUGUCCUCAGAUAACCUCCUGACAUCAGGGACUCAGUUUUGCCUCAUUCAGAUGUCAGGUCUCCACCCCGAAGUAAACAUGGGAAUCUAUGAGAAAUUAGAUCCCAUCCAGCAAGAGCUGAAUCCGAGUCCUCUGCUCACCCCACGACGGAAAAGAAUAUGCACAGGCCUGCAUCCCUCUUCUCCUUCUCCACCAUGUCGGAAGAAAAGGUGGCCCUCCCUCCUCCCAUCAGAACCCAAACCCGAGAUAAGACUUAGAUAUAAAGGAAACCAGCAUACUGUUUUGAACUCUAUAUACACUUGUAAAAAACGAGCAGCGGCAAGGAAACACACAAACCACCACCCCCCCCCCCACACACACAGGUGCAAGGAGGGUGCGCUGACUCGCUGAAUCUCCCCCUUUUCUCCCGAGAGGCAUCCCCCCCAUCCCCCGCCCCCCCCCGAAGAUGUCCUCCCUAUGCCGGAAGGGGAGUGAGUGACGUUCUUUUCUUCCUUUUUUUUUUUUUUUAAAUUAUUCUUUUUAAAAGACUUUUAUUUAUUUGAGAGGAGGGGUGGGGGGAGGGAGGGGGGAGGGAGGGAGAGAGAGAGAGAGAGAGAGAGAUUGAGAGAGAGAGAAGCAGAGUCUCCGCCGAGCAGGGAGCCCGAUGUGGGGCUGGAUCCCCGGACCCUGAGCUCAGGGCCUGAGCCGAAGGCAGGCGGACGGUUCACGGAUUGAGCCAGCCAGGCGCCCCAGCUUUCUUGUUUCUUUGUCUGCCUGCUUGCCUGCGUGUUGGGUCUGUGGAUGUCUGAUGCCUGCCCUCUGAUUUCGUGGGGAGGUGGGCCGUCUUUCCUCCUUCCAAUGGCCUUUGCGCAUUUGUCAAACUUCUGUCGGGCUUGGGCCUAUCUGUUUGGGUAUCUGUGGCGUUCCAUCCACCGACCUGUCUCUUUUGUCUGCCAACAUCACA